rnacentral:rRNA from 1 species
GGACUACCCGGGUAUCUAAUCCUGUUUGCUCCCCACGCUUUCGUGCCUCAGUGUCAGUUGUUGUCCAGGUAGCCGCCUUCGCCACUGAUGUUCCUUCCGAUAUCUACGCAUUUCACCGCUACACCGGAAAUUCCGCUACCCUCUACAACACUCUAGCUUUGCAGUUUAACACGCAAUCCCCAAGUUAAGCUCAGGACUUUCACAUGUUACUUACAAAACCACCUACGCACCCUUUACGCCCAGUAAUUCCGAUUAACGCUCGCACCCUCUGUAUUACCGCGGCUGCUGGCAC